AGAGUUUGAUCAUGGCUCAGGACGAACGCUGGCGGCGUGCCUAAUACAUGCAAGUCGAGCGAGCUUGCCUAGAUGAUUUUGGUGCUUGCACUAAAUGAAACUAGAUACAAGCGAGCGGCGGACGGGUGAGUAACACGUGGGGAACCUGCCCCUAAGUCUGGGAUACCAUUUGGAAACAGGUGCUAAUACCGGAUAAUAAAGCAGAUCGCAUGAUCAGCUUUUGAAAGGCGGCGUAAGCUGUCGCUAAGGGAUGGCCCCGCGGUGCAUUAGCUAGUUGGUAAGGUAACGGCUCACCAAGGCGAUGAUAGGUAGCCGGCCUGAGAGGGUGAACGGCCACAAGGGGACUGAGACACGGCCCUUACUCCUACGGGAGGCAGCAGUGGGGAAUAUUGCACAAUGGGGGAAACCCUGAUGCAGCGACGCCGCGUGGAGGAAGAAGGUCUUCGGAUUGUAAACUCCUGUUGUUGAGGAAGAUAAUGACGGUACUCAACAAGGAAGUGACGGCUAACUACGUGCCAGCAGCCGCGGUAAAACGUAGGUCACAAGCGUUGUCCGGAAUUACUGGGUGUAAAGGGAGCGCAGGCGGGAAGACAAGUUGGAAGUGAAAUCUAUGGGCUCAACCCAUAAACUGCUUUCAAAACUGUUUUUCUUGAGUAGUGCAGAGGUAGGCGGAAUUCCCGGUGUAGCGGUGGAAUGCGUAGAUAUCGGGAGGAACACCAGUGGCGAAGGCGGCCUACUGGGCACCAACUGACGCUGAGGCUCGAAAGUGUGGGUAGCAAACAGGAUUAGAUACCCUGGUAGUCCACACCGUAAACGAUGAUUACUAGGUGUUGGAGGAUUGACCCCUUCAGUGCCGCAGUUAACACAAUAAGUAAUCCACCUGGGGAGUACGACCGCAAGGUUGAAACUCAAAGGAAUUGACGGGGGCCCGCACAAGCAGUGGAGUAUGUGGUUUAAUUCGACGCAACGCGAAGAACCUUACCAAGUCUUGACAUCCUGCGACGUGCAUAGAAAUAUGUAUUUCCUUCGGGACGCAGAGACAGGUGGUGCAUGGUUGUCGUCAGCUCGUGUCGUGAGAUGUUGGGUUAAGUCCCGCACGAGCGCACCCUUACUGUCAGUUACUACGCAAGAGGACUCUGGCAGGACUGCCGUUGACAAAACGGAGGAAAGUGGGGAUGACGUCAAAUCAUCAUGCCCUUUAUGACUUGGGCUACACACGUACUACAAUGGCGUUAAACAAAGAGAAGCAAGACCGCGAGGUGGAGCAAAACUCAGAAACAACGUCCCAGUUCGGACUGCAGGCUGCAACUCGCCUGCACGAAGUCGGAAUUGCUAGUAAUCGUGGAUCAGCAUGCCACGGUGAAUACGUUCCCGGGCCUUGCACACACCGCCCGU
rnacentral:rRNA from 1 species